UGGGGAAUUUUGGACAAUGGGGGAAACCCUGAUCCAGCCAUCCCGCGUGUGCGAUGAAGGCCUUCGGGUUGUAAAGCACUUUUGGCAGGAAAGAAACGUCGUGGGUUAAUACCCCGCGAAACUGACGGUACCUGCAGAAUAAGCACCGGCUAACUACGUGCCAGCAGCCGCGGUAAUACGUAGGGUGCAAGCGUUAAUCGGAAUUACUGGGCGUAAAGCGUGCGCAGGCGGUUCGGAAAGAAAGAUGUGAAAUCCCAGAGCUUAACUUUGGAACUGCAUUUUUAACUACCGGGCUAGAGUGUGUCAGAGGGAGGUGGAAUUCCGCGUGUAGCAGUGAAAUGCGUAGAUAUGCGGAGGAACACCGAUGGCGAAGGCAGCCUCCUGGGAUAACACUGACGCUCAUGCACGAAAGCGUGGGGAGCAAACAGGAUUAGAUACCCUGGUAGUCCACGCCCUAAACGAUGUCAACUAGCUGUUGGGGUCUUCGGACCUUGGUAGCGCAGCUAACGCGUGAAGUUGACCGCCUGGGGAGUACGGUCGCAAGA
rnacentral:rRNA from 1 species